UCACAGAUAGCUCAGUUGGUAAAGAAUCUGCCUGCAAUGCAGGAGAUCCCGGUUCGAUCCCUGGGUUGGGAA
rnacentral:tRNA from 1 species